GAGGAAUAUUGGUCAAUGGGGGCAACCCUGAACCAGCCAAGUCGCGUGAAGGAUGAAGGUCUUAUGGAUUGUAAACUUCUUUUAUACAGGAAUAAAAGACAUUACGUGUAAUGUAUUGCAUGUACUGUACGAAUAAGCAUCGGCUAACUCCGUGCCAGCAGCCGCGGUAAUACGGAGGAUGCAAGCGUUAUCCGGAUUUAUUGGGUUUAAAGGGUGCGCAGGCGGGAUUUUAAGUCAGCGGUGAAAUUUUCAGGCCCAACCUGAACACUGCCGUUGAAACUGGGAUUCUUGAGUAUGGAUGAAGUAGGCGGAAUUCGUUGUGUAGCGGUGACAUGCUUAGAUAUAACGAGGAACUCCGAUUUCGUAGGCAGCUUACUAAGCCAUAACUGACGCUCAAGCACGAAAGCGUGGGGAUCAAACA
rnacentral:rRNA from 1 species